AUUGAACGCUGGCGGCAGGCCUAACACAUGCAAGUCGAACGAGUGGCGGACGGGUGAGUAAUGUCUGGGAAACUGCCUGAUGGAGGGGGAUAACUACUGGAAACGGUAGCUAAUAACGCAUACCAUCGGAUGUGCCCAGAUGGGAUUAGCUAGUAGGUGGGGUACCGGCUCACCUCGGCGACGAUCCCUAGCUGGUCUGAGAGGAUGACAAGCCACACGGGAACUUGGCCACGGUCCAGACUCCUACGGGAGGCAGCAGUGGGUAAUAUUGCACAAUGUGCGCAGGCCUGAUUCAGCCAUGCCGCGUGUAUGAAGAAGGCCUUCGGGUUGUAAAGUACUUUCCGCGGGGAGGCGUUACCCGCAGAAGAAGCACCGGCUAACCCCGUGCCAGCAGCCGCGGUAAUUC
rnacentral:rRNA from 1 species